ACUCCUACGGGAGGCAGCGGUGGGGAAUUUUGGACAAUGGGCGCAAGCCUGAUCCAGCAAUGCCGCGUGCAGGAAGAAGGCCUUCGGGUUGUAAACUGCUUUUGUGCGGAACGAAACGGCGAGCUCUAAUACAGUUUGCUAAUGACGGUACCGUAAGAAUAAGCACCGGCUAACUACGUGCCAGCAGCCGCGGUAAUAC
rnacentral:rRNA from 1 species